rnacentral:rRNA from 1 species
CUCCAGACUCCUACGGGAGGCAGCAGUGGGGGAUAUUGCACAAUGGGGGGAACCCUGAUGCAGCGACGCCGCGUGGGUGAAGGAGCGUUUCGGCGCGUAAAGCCCUAUCGGCAGGGAAGAAGGAGGACGGUACCUGACUAAGAAGCCCCGGCUAACUACGUGCCAGCAGCCGCGGUAAUACGUAGGGGGCAAGCGUUAUCCGGAUUUACUGGGGGUAAAGGGAGCGUAGACGGCAGUGCAAGUCCGGAGUGAAAGCCCGGGGCUCAACCCUGGGACUGCUCUGGAAACUGGCAGGCUGGAGUGUCGGAGAGGCAGGCGGAAUUCCUAGUGCAGCGGUGAAAUGCGUAGAUAUCAGGAGGAACACCGGCGGCGAAGGCGGCCUGCUGGACCGUGACUGACGUUGAGGCCCGAAAGCGUGGGGAGCAAACAGGAUUAGAUACCCCCGUAGA